rnacentral:rRNA from 1 species
GACGAACGCUGGCGGCGUGGAUUAGGCAUGCAAGUCGAACGGUAUGGACCUUUCGGGGUUCAGAGAGUGGCGAACGGGUGAGUAACACGUAGGUAAUCUACCCUCAAGACGGGGACAACCCAGGGAAACUUGGGCUAAUACCGGAUGUGUGUAGUGGCUAUUUUUCUGAUUAUCAUUAUUUACGUAAGUGAGUAAUAAUAAGAAGGGAAAGUGGUUAUUACAUAAAAGGUGGCGUAAGCUGCCGCUUGGGGAUGAGCCUGCGUCCUAUUAGUUAGUUGGUGAGGUAACGGCUUACCAAGGCGAUGAUAGGUAGGCGGCCUUAACGGGGUGGUCGCCCACACUGGGGAUUGAGAUACGGCCCAGACUCCUACGGGAGGCAGCAGUCGGGAAUAGUCUACAAUGGACGGAAGUCUGAUAGUGCGACGCCGCGUGAACGAAGAAUCCCUUCGGGGUGUAAAGUCUUUUAUACGUGAGCAGUGUCCUUUAUAUUAAUAGUAUAAGGGAGAGAUAUUAGCGUAUGAAUAAGCAACGGCUAACUCCG